ACCCCGCACAAGCGGUUGGAUUAUGUUGUUUAAUUCGACGCAACGCGAAGAACCUUACCAGGCCUUGACAUACUCGGCAAAGCUCUAGAGAUAGAGUGGAGGUUAUCCGGGAUACAGGUGGUGCAUGGUUGUCGUCAGCUCGUGUCGUGAGAUGUUGGGUUAAGUCCCGCAACGAGCGCAACCCUUGUCUUUAGUUACCAUCAUUCAGUUGGGGACUCUAGAGAGACUGCCGGUGAUAAACCGGAGGAAGGUGGGGAUGACGUCAAAUCAUCAUGCCCCUUAUGGCCUGGGCUACAAACGUAAUACAAUGGCGUAUACAAAGGGAUGCGAAAGGGCGACCUGGAGCAAAACUCACAAAGUACGUCUCAGUUCAGAUUGGAGUCUGCAACUCGACUCCAUGAAGGCGGAAUCGCUAGUAAUCGCGGAUCAGCAUGCCGCGGUGAAUACGUUCUCGGGGUUU
rnacentral:rRNA from 1 species